GAUGAACGCUGGCGGCGUGCCUAACACAUGCAAGUCGAACGGAAAGACCCUGCUUUUGUGCUGUUCUCGAUUGCCGAACGCGUGAGUGUCACGUGUGUAUCCUGCCCUUGUCUUUGGGAUAACUUCACGAAACUGGGGCUAAUACCGUAUAGGAUCUCCUGCUCCGUGGUGGGCAUUGGAAAGUUUCGGCUGUUGUGGAUGGACUCGCGGCUUAUGAGCUUGUUGGUGGGGUAGUGGCUUACCAAGGCUUUGACGGGUAGCCGGCCUGAGAGGGUGACCGGCGGCAAGGGGACUAAGAGAGGGCGCAGACGGCAAUGGGAGGCAACAGGGGGGAACAUUGCACAAUGGGAGGGAGUGUGUGGCAGAAACGUCGGGUGCGGGAUGACGGCUUUCGGGGUGAGAACAGCUGUCGCCUGUGACGAAGCGGGAGUGACGGUAAUGGGUAAAGAAGCACCGGCUAACUACGUG
rnacentral:rRNA from 1 species